rnacentral:rRNA from 1 species
UACGUAGGGUGCAAGCGUUGUCCGGAAUUAUUGGGCGUAAAGAGCUCGUAGGCGGUCUGUCACGUCGGCUGUGAAAACCCGGGGCUCAACCCCGGGCCUGCAGUCGAUACGGGCAGACUAGAGUGCGGUAGGGGAGACUGGAAUUCCUGGUGUAGCGGUGGAAUGCGCAGAUAUCAGGAGGAACACCGGUGGCGAAGGCGGAUCUCUGGGCCAUUACUGACGCUGAGGAGCGAAAGCGUGGGGAGCGAACAGG